rnacentral:pre_miRNA from 1 species
GUAGAAUGACUGACAGAAGAGAGUGAGCACACUCAGGCAAUUGUAUAAAGCUAUACCUUUGCGUGCUGCGUGCUCACUUCUCUUUCUGUCAGCCCUCCAUUUU